CCGGGUUCCACCGCUGCCUGGUGCCCACUCUGCGUCCGCAGACCGUCGGAGGCACUCGUGCUCUGGAUCUGGCUCACAGCGACCCGACUCUCCUGCUCUCCCCAGUAGCCCAUACCCCAGUGCAUAAAGAGGAGGCGCUCACAAAGCGACAGGUCACAGCCUGCAGGGACACUCGCUGGCCAGCCCACCCACCAUCAUCUCUGCACCGGCCCACUGGGAGACGUCACCCCCGAGCGUCAGGUGGGCAGUUCCCCGGAGCCCCUGGGUCACCCGCCCGUGUGCUCCUGAUACUGGGGUGGGAGCGCUCUGUGACCCCAGCGGGACGGCGUGUCCUGGGACAGUGGCUGGGAAGGUGGACUGUAGGUGGGCAAGGGACAGACAGGCAGCGAGGGCCCGUGUGUGAUGCUCCAGCCCAGCCUGUGCCUCUCGGGGCUAUGGGGUUGUCUCCAGCUCCAGUCAGACAGAGAGGCACCUGCCCACGGGGAGCACCUGGACGCAUGUGUCCUCGGAACGUUCUCACGCGCCGUCAUUCUUGGAUGUGUUUGGAUUGCAGCACGAUGCAGGAGGACCCGGAGACCCUGCUGGCCUUGCAAAGAGCCAAUAUUGUGGCCCAGUACCAUCAGGUGAGGCCCAGAAGGGACCAUAGACACUACACACCCACGAAGGGGGGACUAUACCUGCAAGAGCAGGUGAGGCUCAAGAGGGGAUCAGAGCCAAGGAUGAGCCAGGUCAGCCCAGACAACGACCAUAGUCACCAGGAACAAGUGAGACCCUGGGGAUGGUCCCGGUGUCAGUAGCAACUAAGGGUCCAUCCUGGAUCCUAGUCAUUGGUAGCUGAGGAGCCCAGUCACCAGGUACAGGUGAGGCCCGGGUGGGGACCAGAGUCACCAGGUCCAGAUGAAGACUACAGCUACCAGGUCCAGGUGAGCCCAGGUGGGGACCAGAGUCACCAGGUUCAGGUGAGGCCAAGGUGGGGACCACAGUCGCAGAUCCACAUGAGGCUCAGGUGGAGACCAGAGUCACCUAGGUGAAGCCCAGUUGGGGACUAGAGUCACCAGGUCUGGGUGAGGCCCAAUUGGGGACCAGAGUCACCAGGUCUGGGUGAGGGCCAGGUAGGGAUCAGAGUCACCAGGUCAAGUGAGGCCCAGGUGGGGACCACAGUCACCAGGUCAGGUGAGGCCCAGGUAGGAACCACAGUCACCAGAUGCAGGUGAAGCCCAGUGGGGGACCACAGUCAACGGGUCCAGGUGAGGCCACGGUGGGGAUCACAGUCACCAGUUCCAGGUGAGGUCCAGGUGGGGACCAGAGUCACCAGGUCCCGGUGAGGCCAAGGUGGGGACCAGAGUCACCAGGUUCAGGUGAGGCCAAGGUGGGGACCAGAGUUGCAGAUCCACAUGAGGCCCAGGUGGGGACCAGAGUCACUAGGCCCAGGUGAGGCCCUGUUGGGGACCAGAGUCACCAGGCCCAGGUGAGGCCCAGUUGGGGACCAGUCACCAGGUCUGGGUGAGGCCCAGGUGGGGACCAGAGUCACCAGGUCCGGGUGAGGCCCAGGUGGGGACCAGCGUCACCGGUUCAAGGUGAGGCCCAUGUGGGGACCAUCGUCACCGGGUCCGGUUGAGGGCCAGGUAGGGAUCAGAGUCACCAGGUCAGGUGAGACCCAGGUAGGGAUCAGAGACACCAGGUCCAGCUGAGGCCCAGGUGGGGACCACAGUCACCAGGUCCAGGUGAGGCCCAGGUAGGGAUCAGAGUCACCAGGUCCGGGUGAAGUCCAGUGGGGGACCACAGUCACCGGGUCCA
rnacentral:lncRNA from 12 species